UACGAACCGUGCGAACGUUGUUCGGAAUCACUGGGCUUAAAGGGCGCGUAGGCGGGCUGACAAGUCUGGGGUGAAAUCCCGCGGCUCAACCGUGGAACUGCCUUAGAUACUGUCGGCCUCGAGGAAGGUAGGGGCAUGCGGAACUGUAGGUGGAGCGGUGAAAUGCGUUGAUAUCUACAGGAACUCCGGUGGCGAAAGCGGCGUGCUGGACCUUUUCUGACGCUGAGGCGCGAAAGCUAGGGGAGCAAACGGG
rnacentral:rRNA from 1 species